CCUACGGGAGGCAGCAGUGGGGAAUAUUGGGCAAUGGAGGAAACUCUGACCCAGCAACGCCGCGUGAAUGAUGAAGGUCUUCGGAUUGUAAAGUUCUUUUCUAAGGGAAGAAGAAAGUGACGGUACCUUAGGAAUAAGCCUCGGCUAACUACGUGCCAGCAGCCGCGGUAAUACGUAGGAGGCGAGCGUUAUCCGGAAUGACUGGGCGGAAAGGGGGCGUAGGUGGUUUGGCAAGUUAGUAGCGUAACUCCAAGGCUCAACCUUGGAACUACUACUAAAACUGUUGGACGUGAGUGCAGGAGGGGCAACCGGAAUUCCUAGUGUAGCGGUGGAAUGCGUAGAUAUUAGGAGGAACACCAGUGGCGAAGGCGGGUUACUAGACUGUAACUGACACUGAGGCACGAAAGCGUGGGGAGCAAACAGGAUUAGAUACCCCAGUAGUC
rnacentral:rRNA from 1 species